AUGGCAAAUUCCGAAAAGCCAAUAAGAGAGUAGGAA
rnacentral:ncRNA from 1 species